rnacentral:lncRNA from 1 species
GACGAAGAUCUAGGUCACAUUCGCCUCGUAGAUCACCAUCUCCCAUACGGCGUAGGCUGCGUUCCCCUUUUCGUGGUAAAUCUCCAAUGCCUCUACGGCGCAGAUCACCAUCACCUGUACAACAUCGUAGAUCACCAUCACCUGUUUGGCGUCGUGGAUCACCAUCACCAAUUCGACGUCGUAGAUCUCCAUCACCUUCUCGUCGACGAAGAUCUCCACCUAUUCGGCGCCGUCGAUCUCCUUCACCAAUACGGCGCCGUCGAUCUCCUUCACCCUUGCAUCAUAGGUCACCAUCACCCACAAGGCGUAUAUCUCCCUCUCCUGUGCAACGGCUGUAUCAGCGG